UGGGGAAUAUUGGACAAUGGGCGAAAGCCUGAUCCAGCAAUGCCGCGUGAGUGAUGAAGGCCUUAGGGUUGUAAAGCUCUUUUACCAGGGAUGAUAAUGACAGUACCUGGAGAAUAAGCUCCGGCUAACUCCGUGCCAGCAGCCGCGGUAAUACGGAGGGAGCUAGCGUUGUUCGGAAUUACUGGGCGUAAAGCGUACGUAGGCGGUGACUCAAGUCAGAGGUGAAAGCCUGGAGCUCAACUCCAGAACUGCCUUUGAAACUAGGUCGCUAGAAUCACGGAGAGGUGAGUGGAAUUCCGAGUGUAGAGGUGAAAUUCGUAGAUAUUCGGAAGAACACCAGUGGCGAAGGCGGCUCACUGGACGUGUAUUGACGCUGAGGUACGAAAGCGUGGGGAGCAAACAGGAUUAGAUACCCGGGUAGUCCCUGAGCGGGCUGGCAAGGCGCAU
rnacentral:rRNA from 1 species